UACAGAGGUCUCAAGCGUUGUUCGGAUUCAUUGGGCGUAAAGGGCGUGUAGGCGGCGCCGUAAGUCGGGUGUGAAAUUUCGGAGCUUAACUCCGAAACUGCAUUCGAUACUGCGGUGCUUGAGGACUGGAGAGGAGAGUGGAAUUCAUGGUGUAGCAGUGAAAUGCGUAGAGAUCAUGAGGAAGACCAGUGGCGAAGGCGGGUCUCUGGACAGUUCCUGACACUGAGACACGAAGGCCAGGGGAGCAAACAGG
rnacentral:rRNA from 1 species